CCUACGGGUGGCAGCAGUGAGGAAUAUUGGUCAAUGGGCGGGAGCCUGAACCAGCCAAGUCGCGUGAGGGAAGACGGUCCUACGGAUUGUAAACCCUUUUAGCCGGGGAGCAACGGGGUCCUUGCGAGGGCCCGAUGAGAGUACCCGGAGAAAAAGCAUCGGCAAACUCCGUGCCAGCAGCCGCGGUAAUACGGAGGAUGCGAGCGUUAUCCGGAUGUAUUGGGUUUAAAGGGUGCGUAGGCGGGCUGUUAAGUCAGCGGUCAAAUGUCGGGGCUCAACCCCGGACUGCCGUUGAAACUGGCGGCCUCGAGUGGGCUAGAGGUAUGCAGAAUGCGUGGUGUAGCGGUGAAAUGCGUAGAUAUCACGCAGAACUCCGGUUGCGAAGGCAGCAUACCGGCGCCCUACUGACGCUGAGGCACGAAAGCGUGGGUAUCGAACAGGAUUAGAUACCCGAGUAGUC
rnacentral:rRNA from 1 species